rnacentral:rRNA from 1 species
UCCAUGGUGUAGCAAUACACCGGAAGAUUUAGUGGCGAACGGGUGAGGAUCACGUGAGAAACGUGCCCCAGACUCUGGGAUAACAAUUGGAAACGAUUGCUAAUACCGGAUGACGUCGGAGAAUCGCAUGAUUCACUGACGAAAGAUAUUUCGGUUUGGGAGCGUCUCGCGGCCUAUCAGCUUGUUGGUGGGGUAAUGGCCUACCAAGGCAACGACGGGUAGCUGGUCUGAGAGGAUGAUCAGCCACACUGGGACUGAGACACGGCCCAGACUCCUACGGGAGGCAGCAGUGGGGAAUCUUGCGCAAUGGGCGAAAGCCUGACGCAGCAACGCCGCGUGCGGGAUGAAGGCCUUCGGGCUGUAAACCGCUUUCAGCAGGAACGAAAAUGACGGUACCUGCAGAAGAAGGAGCGGCCAACUACGUGCCAGCAGCCGCGGUGACACGUAGGCUC